ensembl:lncRNA
GCGCGUUGUAACAGUCAGAGGUAAAGCUGUAACGUUGCACUUCUGACAGCUUCAGGACAGAGGAGUUUACACUUUCUGGUUUCUCUAUGACACUGCUUUGUAUUUUUUGUUUGUUUUAUUCGUUUAAACAGAACGGAAAAUGGAACGAGACGGAGCGACUGUUUUUGGCGGCUGUAACGUAACGUGAGAAGAGGAACUAACUUGUUUCGCGGAUGUUCAACAGUAAUGAAUGCAGAUCCAGUGAAGAGGAAGUACAAAUGUUUACAGAAGGAAAUAAAGGACACUCUGUUGCCUCAAUUUUGACUGGGGAGACACGCAGAGAGCACGGCCAAUGCAAGAGCAAGAGGACCAGAUAUGGCUGUGUCAUUGGGUUCUUG